AGAUUUUGAAGCCUGCAGAUUGCCUUCUCUAUCACCCUCUGACUGAUUUUUGGAUGCCAGGAUAAAAAGCAAGUCAAUUGCAAAGUGAAAUUCCAAAUCUUGCAAAAAGAUCCAGAAAAACCACACAAAAGAAUUGUAUAGCUCUGAAUUAUUUUAUAAGCCAGAUACUGUUUUAACUACUGCCUGCGCCAAAAUAUAAAGUCAUGACAACCACUCCAGAAGCCUCUCCAGGUGACCUGUUCCCACAUACCUGCCCCUCUCUCCAAAGGUUUAUCCUCCAUUCUUGUCUCUGCCUUACAGUUUGUUGGAGAACCUAAGCUAUUUCACUAAAGUGUCUUGCAGCCUGGACUUUUUUGAUUGCAUCCUCAUGGUGAAGUUCAACAUGUUUAUCCUCCAUAUUUCCUGAACAUUGGCAGCUGGAUCCAGGAGCUUGGUCAGACUCAGAUUUAGUUCAAUGGACCCAUUAUAUCUGACUGUAUUUCUAAUUUUUAGCAGACCUUGACACUAA